rnacentral:rRNA from 1 species
CGGGGUGGAUUAGUGGCGAACGGGUGAGUAACACGUGGGCAAUCUGCCCUGCACUCUGGGACAAGCCCUGGAAACGGGGUCUAAUACCGGAUACUGAUCGCCUUGGGCAUCCUUGGUGAUCGAAAGCUCCGGCGGUGCAGGAUGAGCCCGCGGCCUAUCAGCUUGUUGGUGAGGUAAUGGCUCACCAAGGCGACGACGGGUAGCCGGCCUGAGAGGGCGACCGGCCACACUGGGACUGAGACACGGCCCAGACUCCUACGGGAGGCAGCAGUGGGGAAUAUUGCACAAUGGGCGAAAGCCUGAUGCAGCGACGCCGCGUGAGGGAUGACGGCCUUCGGGUUGUAAACCUCUUUCAGCAGGGAAGAAGCGAAAGUGACGGUACCUGCAGAAGAAGCGCCGGCUAACUACGUGCCAGCAGCCGCGGUAAUACGUAGGGCGCGAGCGUUGUCCGGAAUUAUUGGGCGUAAAGAGCUCGUAGGCGGCUUGUCGCGUCGGUUGUGAAAGCCCGGGGCUUAACCCCGGGUCUGCAGUCGAUACGGGCAGGCUAGAGUUCGGUAGGGGAGAUCGGAAUUCCUGGUGUAGCGGUGAAAUGCGCAGAUAUCAGGAGGAACACCGGUGGCGAAGGCGGAUCUCUGGGCCGAUACUGACGCUGAGGAGCGAAAGCGUGGGGAGCGAACAGGAUUAGAUACCCUGGUAGUCCACGCCGUAAACGGUGGGCACUAGGUGUGGGCGACAUUCCACGUCGUCCGUGCCGCAGCUAACGCAUUAAGUGCCCCGCCUGGGGAGUACGGCCGCAAGGCUAAAACUCAAAGGAAUUGACGGGGGCCCGCACAAGCGGCGGAGCAUGUGGCUUAAUUCGACGCAACGCGAAGAACCUUACCAAGGCUUGACAUACACCGGAAACGUCCAGAGAUGGGCGCCCCCUUGUGGUCGGUGUACAGGUGGUGCAUGGUUGUCGUCAGCUCGUGUCGUGAGAUGUUGGGUUAAGUCCCGCAACGAGCGCAACCCUUUGUCCCGUGUUGCCAGCAGGCCCUUGUGGUGGCUGGGGACUCACGGGAAGACCGGCCGGGGUCAACUCCGGAGGAAGGUGGGGGACGAACGUCAAGUCAUCAUGCCCCUUUAAUGUCUUGGGGCUGCACACGUGGCUACAAUGGGCCGGUACAAUUGGAGCUGCGAUACCCGCGAGGUGGGAGCGAAAUCUCAAAAAGCCCGGGUCUCAGUUCCCGGAUUGGGGUCUGGCCAACUCGACCCCAUGGAAGUCCGGGAGUCGCUAGUAAUCGCAGGAAUCAGCAUUUUGCUCGCGGUGAAUACGUUUUUCCCGGGGCCCUUGUACACACCGCCCGGUCUCACGUCACGAAAUGUCGGUAACACCCCAGAAGCCGGUGGCCCAACCCCCUUGUGGGGAGGGAGCUGUCGAAGGUGGGUACUGGCGAUUGGGACGAAGUCGUAAA